rnacentral:rRNA from 1 species
UACGUAGGGACCAAGCGUUGUUCGGAUUUACUGGGCGUAAAGGGCGCGUAGGCGGCUUGACAAGUCACUUGUGAAAUCCCACGGCUCAACCGUGGAACUGCUUGGUAUACUGGUUGUCUUGAGCCACUUAGGGGCAGUCGGAACAGACGGUGGAGCGGUGAAAUGCGUAGAUAUCGGCUGGAACGCCAAAGGUGAAAGCAGACUGCUGGGAGUGUACUGACGCUGAGACACGAAAGCCAGGGGAGCAAACGGG